AAUAUUGGACAAUGGGCGAAAGCCUGAUCCAGCCAUGCCGCGUGUGUGAAGAAGGUCUUCGGAUUGUAAAGCACUUUAAGUUGGGAGGAAGGGGUUGAAGCUAAUACAUUCAAUCUUUCACGUUACCAACAGAAUAAGCACCGGCUAACUCUGUGCCAGCAACCGCGGUAAUACAGAGGGUGCAAGCGGUAAUCGGAAUUACUGUGCGUAAAGCGCGGGUAGGUGGGUCAGUAAGAUGGGUGUGAAAUCCCAGGGCUCAACCUGGGAACUGCAUCCAUAACUGCUGGGCUAGAGUACGGUAGAGGGUAGUGGAAUUUCCUGUGUAGCGGUGAAAUGCGUAGAUAUAGGAAGGAACACCAGUGGCGAAGGCGACUACCUGGACUGAUACUGACACUGAGGUGCGAAAGCGUGGGGAGCAAACAGG
rnacentral:rRNA from 1 species